rnacentral:rRNA from 1 species
CCCUUAGAUGUUCUGGGCUGCACGCGUGCUACACUGAGUGGAUCAGCGGGUCAGGUUGCGCGAAAGUGUUUCCUAAUCUUGAAAUCCGCUCGUGAUGGGGAUUGACGGUUGCAAUUUUCCGUCAUGAACGAGGAAUACCUUGUAAGCGCGGGUCAUCAUCCCGCGCUGAAUACGUCCCUGCCCUUUGUACACACCGCCCGUCGCUCCUACCGAUUGAGUGGUCCGGUGAGGCUUUGGGAUCUGAGCAAAAAGAGCGUUUCGCUCGUUUGGCUCGGAAAACUCAGUCGAACCUUAUCAUUUAGAGGAAGGAGAAGUCGUAACA